CCCUUAGAUGUUCUGGGCCGCACGCGCGCUACACUGACGAAUGCAACGAGCUUAUAACCUUGGCCGAAAGGUCUGGGUAAUCUCCAAAUUUCGUCGUGAUGGGGAUAGAUUAUUGCAAUUAUUAAUCUUCAACGAGGAAUGCCUAGUAAGCGCAAGUCAUCAGCUUGCGUUGAUUACGUCCCUGCCCUUUGUACACACCGCCCGUCGCUCCUACCGAUUGAAUGGUCCGGUGAAAUCUCCGGACUGGCGUGAGUCGGAGCAAUCUGACAAACACCGGAAAGUUGAUUAAACCUUACCAUUUAGAGGAAGGUGAAGUCGUAACA
rnacentral:rRNA from 1 species